rnacentral:rRNA from 1 species
GACAGAGGGUGCAAACGUUGUUCGGAAUUCCUGGGCGUAAAGCGCGUGUAGGCGGCUAUGCAAGUCGGGCGUGAAAUCCCACGGCUCAACCGUGGAAGUGCACUCGAAACUGCGUAGCUAGAGUCUCGGAGAGGAAGGUGGAAUACUUGGUGUAGAGGUGAAAUUCGUAGAUAUCAAGUGGAACACCGGUGGCGAAGGCGGCCUUCUGGACGAUAACUGACGCUGAGACGCGAAAGCGUGGGGAGCAAACAGG